CUUCUCCUUUGCAGGUCCAGUAGUUGAGUUCCUCUGCAUCGACCAGCUUGAUGUGGUUGCAGGGCAGAGGUGCCCCUACAUGCCCUAGGACACCAGAACAAGAGUGAAAGGCUUGGGCCUCUGGCAUCUUCCUCUGUACCCGGCUGCCCAGCACACGUCCCACCACCCCCAAGGAAGGCCCGGGAUGAUGAUACCUGGCACCCCAGAGCUGCUCGUAGGAAUCCCAGAACCGUUGGUGACGCGGGGGCUGCUCCAGUGACAAUCAUCCUCACAUGCCCACCAAGACUGGCCUGUGGGAAGAAAGAAGCUGCCAAUGAUGGUGACACACGAGAUGGUCUUCAUUUAUGGUCUGCUUUCAACAGCUGGACCCUGGGUGCUAGAAGAGAGCCACGUGCUGAGGAAGUC
rnacentral:lncRNA from 1 species